rnacentral:rRNA from 1 species
AACGAACGCUGGCGGUAUGCUUAACACAUGCAAGUCGAACGGGUGUAGCAAUACAUCAGUGGCAAACGGGUGAGUAAUACAGAGGAAUCUACCUAGCAGUAAGGAAUAACUCUGAGAAAUCAGAGCUAAUACCAUAUAUUACCCUUCGGGGGAAAGAUUUAUCGCUGUUAGAUGAGCCUCUGCCGGAUUAGCUAGUUGGUAGGGUAAUGGCCUACCAAGGCAAUGAUCCGUUGCUGGUCUGAGAGGAUGAUCAGCCACACUGGAACUGAGACACGGUCCAGACUCCUACGGGAGGCAGCAGUGGGGAAUAUUGGACAAUGGGCGCAAGCCUGAUCCAGCAAUACCGCGUGAGUGAUGAAGGUCUUCGGAUUGUAAAGCUCUUUUAGUAGAGAAGAUAAUGACGGUAUCUACAGAAAAAGCACCGGCAAACUUCGUGCCAGCCGCCGCCGUAA